GAUGAACGCUAGCUACAGGCUUAACACAUGCAAGUCGAGGGGUAACGAGAGGAAAGCUUGCUUUCCUUGUCGACGACCGGCGCACGGGUGAGUAACGCGUAUCCAACCUGCCCCAAACUAAGGAAUAACCUUGCGAAAGUAAGACUAAUACCUUAUAAUUUCCUCAGAUGUCAUCUGACGAGGAAUAAAGAUUGAUCGGUUGUGGAUGGGGAUGCGUCUGAUUAGCUGGUUGGCGGGGUAACGGCCCAACAAGGCAACGAUCAGUAGGGGUUCGGGGAGGAAGGUCCCCCACAUUGGAACUGAGACACGGUCCAAACUCCUACGGGAGGCAGCAGUGAGGAAUAUUGGUCAAUGGGCGAAAGCCUGAACCAGCCAAGUAGCGUGCAGGAUGACGGCCCUAUGGGUUGUAAACUGCUUUUAUACAGGAAUAAAGUUAGCCACGUGUGGUUAUUUGUAGGUACUGUAUGAAUAAGGACCGGCUAAUUCCGUGCCAGCCGCCGCCGUAA
rnacentral:rRNA from 1 species